AUUGAACGCUGGCGGCAUGCUUUACACAUGCAAGUCGAACGGUAACAGGGAGCUUGCUCCGCUGACGAGUGGCGAACGGGUGAGUAAUGCGUCGGAACGUGCCGAGUAGUGGGGGAUAACGCAGCGAAAGUUGUGCUAAUACCGCAUACGUACUGAGGUAGAAAGUGGGGGACCUUCGGGCCUCACGCUCUUCCAGCGGCCGGCGUCUGAUUAGCUAGUAGGUGGGGUAAGGGCUCACCUAGGCGACGAUCAGGAGCGGGUCUGAGAGGAUGAUCCGCCACACUGGGACUGAGACACGGUCCAGACUCCUACGGGAGGCAGCAGUGGGGAAUAUUGGACAAUGGGCGAAAGCCUGAUCCAGCCAUGCCGCGUGUGUGAAGAAGGUCUUCGGAUUGUAAAGCACUUUAAGUUGGGAGGAAGGGCAGUAAGUUAAUACCUUGCUGUUUUGACGUUACCGACAGAAUAAGCACCGGCUAACUUCGUGCCAGCCGCCGCGGUAAGAC
rnacentral:rRNA from 1 species